GGAAAGAAUUUAGAGAUUAUCUUUCCCAAUCCCUAUGUUUUACAAAUGAUCAGACUGAGAUUGAGAAGGAUGAAAGUGAUUUGCCAAGGUGAUACCACUGGACACUGAGUUUAGACAAGACUUUGAGCUUCUCUGAGUGUGAGUUUCAUCAUGCUGUGGUUAGAUUCAUAAAUUCUGAGAAUGUUAGCACUAGAAAAGAACUUUUGAAAAGAGCUAAUCCAGCCCCCUUGUUUUAUGGAUGGUGAAAUUGAAAUUGGAGAAGUCAAACAACUGAUCCAAGGUCAUAGAACUGGUUAGAGGCAGAGCAAAGACUAAAAGCAAAUUGUAAAGCUCAGUAAAGGGAAGAAGGAAGGCAAUAAGCAUUUAUUUCCUGGCAUAUAUUACUAUUUGCCAAGCACUGAGCUAAAUACUUUAAAACAGUAUCUCAUUUAAUCCUCACAGUGAUCUUGAGAGGUAGAUGCUACAGUUGAGGAAACUGAGGUAGAUCAAUCUAACUGCUGUCAAAUAACUAGUAAGUGUCUGAGGUUAAAUUUAAAUUCAACUCUUCCUAACAUCAGGUCCAGCUCUCUAUGACCUUCCUCCAGUGUCAGUGUGAGAAGAGCAAAAAGUGGAGUGAGAAGAGGAGAAAGAGGAGAAGCAAUAGGAUUAUUUCAUGAUCUAGCAGGGAUACUUACCUUUAUCUGACUGAAUUUCACCAGGAUACAUUUUACAAAUUGAAGACUUGUGGCAACCCUGAAUCAAGCAAAUCUAUCUGCAACCUUUUUCAAACAGCAUGUGGCUAUAUCAUAUGAAGAAACUGAGGCUGAGAGAUGUGAAGUGAUUUGCCCAAGGUCAAUCCCAACUCUGGCUGUUAGAGCUGAAAGAAACCUUAGGCAUCAUUUAAAGGAAACUGAGGAAAUCUAGUGACUUUCUCAAGGACAAAGAACAAACUAGAGUUAGAACUUGAGUCUAUCCAUGCACCCUGACUCUGAAAAGUAGUGCUCAUAUAUCUAUAAAGGGAACUGUCAUCCAGUUUAUAUUAUUACAAGAACCAUCAGCCCAAUUAAAAACCUGGAAAAGGUCAACCUUCUUCUAUCUGUGAAAUUCCCCCAAUUAGCAACUAGCUGUUUAUUUUUGGAUUUCUUACUUGUGUGUGACAGAAUUUACCAACCAAUUCUGGGAGC
rnacentral:lncRNA from 1 species